GAUGAACGCUGGCGGCGUGCCUAAUACAUGCAAGUCGAGCGAACAGACGAGGAGCUUGCUCCUCUGACGUUAGCGGCGGACGGGUGAGUAACACGUGGAUAACCUACCUAUAAGACUGGGAUAACUUCGGGAAACCGGAGCUAAUACCGGAUAAUAUAUUGAACCGCAUGGUUCAAUAGUGAAAGACGGUUUUGCUGUCACUUAUAGAUGGUUCCGCGCCGCAUUAGCUAGUUGGUAAGGUAACGGCUUACCAAGGCAACGAUGCGUAGCCGACCUGAGAGGGUGAUCGGCCACACUGGAACUGAGACACGGUCCAGACUCCUACGGGAGGCAGCAGUAGGGAAUCUUCCGCAAUGGGCGAAAGCCUGACGGAGCAACGCCGCGUGAGUGAUGAAGGUCUUCGGAUCGUAAAACUCUGUUAUUAGGGAAGAAAAAAUGUGUAAGUAACUAUGCACGUCUUGACGGUACCUAAUCAGAAAGCAACGGCUAACUACGUG
rnacentral:rRNA from 1 species